rnacentral:rRNA from 1 species
UACGUAGGGGGCAAGCGUUAUCCGGAUUUACUGGGUGUAAAGGGGGCGCAGACGGCGAUGCAAGCCAGGAGUGAAAGCCCGGGGCCCAACCCCGGGACUGCUCUUGGAACUGCGUGGCUGGAGUGCAGGAGGGGCAGGCGGAAUUCCUGGUGUAGCGGUGAAAUGCGUAGAUAUUAGGAGGAACACCAGUGGCGAAGGCGGCUUACUGGACUGUAAAUGACGCUGAGGCUCGAAAGCGUGGGGAGCAAACAGG